ACGAACGCUGGCGGCGUGCCUAAUACAUGCAAGUCGAGCGAAUGAUAGGGAGCUUGCUCCCUUGAUUUAGCGGCGGACGGGUGAGUAACACGUGGGCAACCUACCUGUAAGACUGGGAUAACUUCGGGAAACCGGAGCUAAUACCGGAUAAUUUCUUUUCUCGCAUGAGAAGAGAUGGAAAGACGGUUUCGGCUGUCACUUACAGAUGGGCCCGCGGCGCAUUAGCUAGUUGGUGAGGUAAUGGCUCACCAAGGCCACGAUGCGUAGCCG
rnacentral:rRNA from 1 species